GACAUUUUUCGUUUUACCAGAUUCCAAGUGAAGAAGAAGCAAUUUUUCCGCAACUUUAUGGCAAUCAUACUGAUUGGUGCAGUUGGUACUUUAAUAUCGUUUGGCAUCAUAUCUGUUGGUGCCAUUGAGAUUUUCAAGAAAAUGAAUAUUGGGGAUCUGCAGAUAGGGGAUUAUCUUGCAAUUGGGGCAUUUU